CACCAUAGUCAUCCACACCCAUGCC
rnacentral:siRNA from 1 species